GGGGGAAUUAAUCACCGUGUGGGGUGUGUGUGGGGAGGGAACGCCUGGCAGGAGGUCACCAAACGGCUCCCGACUAUCACCGUGGGUCACGCGUCUCGGGGGCCACGGCUGUGUACACACACCCCCCCCACACACUCCACACACCCCACCAUCUUAUCCCCCUUCUGCUUUAGUGGUCCAAGUGGAGGCUAGCUCAACCUUACACUCACACACGUACACACACACACACACACACACACACACACAUACACACACACACACACACACUUGCUCACACUCAACACACCCAGUGAAUAGGGCGGUUGAGAGGACCGAAACACUGUGAAGUAGAGGCAGUGCUCCUGCGGGCAGUGUGUUGGUCUCUUCAGAGACAAGGUUGAACGCCUCUGCACAGCUGACAGAGCUUGGAGGUGGUGGAGGUUGAGGUGGAGGUGGUGGAGGAGGGGGGAGCCAGGAUGUUGAACCCCAGGAAUCAGAGACUUGCUGAAAGUUAAACGUUCUGGCCUGCUUUAUUUUUUUGCGUCUGUGGUGCCACCUGGAACCCUCGACCUCGCCGAUUUUAGCGUCGUAUUUACGAAUCGUCGUGUCCGUGCGGGAGUCGAGCGACCCGCUGAGAACGAGGAACGAAUAACCGAGAGGAAGAGGAAGUGAGGACGGAAACACAGGUGCGGUAGGAGACACUAUUUCCUCAAUACUGUUUUGAUACUGUUUGUGUGUAUGUAGGUGUCUUUGCUGGGGGUGUGUUCAUGUGAGUGUUUGCCCUUUCCUUUCCUCCUUGUGUGUGUGUGUGUGUGUGUGUGUGUGUGUGUGUGUGUGUGCGCGUGUGCACGUGUGGGUCUGGGGUUUAAUGCCAGCGGGAUAAAAAGAAGGCUUUGCAGGCGAAGGUUUGAUGUGCUGUUUGUCUUGGUUUUGCCCCUCAGCGAGCUUUCCCGGCUGCUUCUUUCGGAUUUAUCCGCCUUCCCCGGCGCUCCCCUCCUGCAGCUCCGCCAUCCCGGGAACGUUUCAUCUUCUUUGGGGAAUUUCACGCCGGUUAGUCCUUGUCAUCAGUGAACUUCGCAACGUAAUAAAAAUACCGCCGCCAUAUUUUUUUAUUCCACUACUCUUUUUUUUUUUUGAGGACAGAUCCGAGGCCGGAUUCCCUCCCGUUACCGUUUCCUGUAGUCGAGUCCGUGUGUUAUCCGGUACGCGUGGUAAAAAAAAGCCGAGGCUCCUGUGGGAGAUCGGAGACUUUUUUCGCCGUUGUGUGUCUGUCAUAUAUAUGUUUUCCUUUUUUUCCGGACGUGUUCGAGUCAUGUUUGAGUUCGAGUCAUGUUUGCCUCAACACGGAUGUGUGUUUUUAUUUUUACGCCUGGCCAUGAGUGUAUCCUUUGUGUGUGUACCUUUGACUUAUUUUUUUUGUUUCGUGUGUGUGAGCAUGGGAUUUUGAGUUUUAUAGACAUUCCUUUUGGUUUGCGUUUACUUGCGUUAUCAAAAAAAAAAAA
ensembl:lncRNA